AUGGGCCCUCAGCUCCUGGGCUGUGUCAUGCUUUGUCUACUGGGAGCAGGUCCCACAGAAGCCGAAGUGACCCAGACCCCAAGACACCUCAUCACAGAGACCAAAAAGAAGUUGACAGUGACUUGUUCUCAGAAUAUGGACCACGAAUUGAUGUACUGGUAUCGACAAGACCCAGGGCUGGGUCUAAAGCUGAUCUAUUAUUCAAUUAAUGUUGAUCAUUUUGAAAAGGGAGAGGUUUCUGAUGGGUACAAGGUGUCUCGAACAGAGAAGGGGAAUUUCCCACUGACCCUGGAGUCAGCCAACAUCAGCCAGACCUCUCUGUAUCUCUGUGCCAGCAGCCUUUCUCAGCUCACCUUACUGGAGACAUACUUCGGCGCCGGCACCAGGCUCACCGUCGUAGAGGACCUGAACAAGGUGAAACCUCCCACGGUCACUGUGUUUGAACCAUCCGAAGCAGAGAUCGCCCGGACACAGAAGGCCACGCUUGUGUGCCUGGCCACAGGCUUCUACCCCGACCAUGUGGAGCUGAGCUGGUGGGUGAAUGGGAAGGAGAUCAAGAGUGGGGUCAGCACAGACCCUCAGCCCUACAAGGAGCAGAGCAACCUCAGUGACUCCACCUACUGUCUGAGCAGCCGGCUGAGGGUCUCUGCCACCUUCUGGCACAAUCCUCGCAACCACUUCCGCUGCCAAGUCCAGUUCUUUGGGCUAGAGGAAGAAGACAGGAAGAAUUGGGAGGACCCCCGCCCCCUACCCAUCACCCAGAAUGUCAGCGCUGAGGUCUGGGGCAGAGCAGAUUGUGGCUUCACCUCAGUGUCCUAUCAGCAAGGGGUCCUGUCUGCCACCAUCCUCUAUGAGAUACUACUGGGGAAGGCCACUGUGUAUGCGGUGCUGGUCAGCACCUUGGUGCUGAUGGCCAUGCUCAAGAAAAAGGAUUCCUGAGACCAGUUCCAGAUGCCCAUCCUCAGACAUUUUUAAUCCAAACCCUAGGUUCACCUUCACAUGCUUCCAGUCUGUGUUCCCAAUGAGGUAUUCUCUCCUCGCCCUCUUAUCUCCUACCUGUAUGAGUAUCUGUCCCUUCUCUCUGCUGCCCUGCAGACUGAGCUCCUCAAUACUGAAUCUGAGAUAAACUAAACCAAUAAAAAUAUUGUGCUGGA